GGGCCUGUAGCUCAAUUGGGAGAGCACCUGCUUUGCACGCAGGAGGUCGCGGGUUCGACUCCCGCCGGGUCCACCA
rnacentral:tRNA from 1 species